UCACCAUCAAAGAGUGGUAUGGGUUUUAUUAGACUUCCGUAAUCCAGGUCUCGUUUCUCAGGCAACUCUGAAGCGUAUCACACUUUAUCUGAGAGGGUCACAAUUAGUGAAGGAAGGAAUUGGCCUUUGCAAGUUUGUGUUGCUCACGAACUUAUUAAAUUGCUUGAUUUUUUUUUUUCUUCCUAGCUUUGAUAGAUUGACUUUGCCUCUUUUACUGCGUGCAUAGUGCCAUCUUGUGGCCAUAAAGCAUAUAACACUCAUAGUUAUGCCACAGUGCUUCUGUUCCAUCUUAUUUCUGUAGUCCAGAGGAUCUCUUAAGUGUAGAAACACAUGGAUUAUUACUAGCCAAGGCCAUCACUGGCCAAGCCCAUCUAAAAGCCAGAGGCAGCAAGCAGUGCCCGUUGAAACAUCCAUAAAAGGUGAUAUUUGGUUAGCAACGUCCUACUGUAGACAUUUUGAUGUGGUGGUGAUUGGAAUAUGGUCUGCAGAGAUCAACCAGAAUUAGCUCCAUGUGCCACUGGGAGUGGGAACUGAAGUCACGCAGGAAUAAACCAGUCUUCAUGCUUUAGGAUGUUCUGAUGUGCCAUUGUCGUGAAAUCUUCAUUCAUGAGACAUUCCAGUUUACCGGCAGUGUCGACUAGAAUAUGCUACAGCCCCCAAAAUACGUUUUUAGUAUAAGGAUUAUUUUGAGCUGAUUAUUUUGAGAAAUAGCAGACGCAGGAGAAACUCUGAAGACAGAACGCAAACUUCAGCUAGUGUCUUGAAUUUAAGUCCCAAAUCAUCUAAGAAGCGGUCAUCUAGCUCUCCUUCAAUAAAACUGCAACAACCAAUAGAAGCAUUCAGCGAUUCAGUUUCUUCCUGAGAAUAAACCAGAAGGCAAUCUUUGGCUGUGUGAUUUUCAUCUUCCUCAGUGUAAGAGGCCGCUUUCUAAAAUGAAAACAAAACAAAACAAACACAAAACAGACAAAUAAUUAGCAAUAUAAAUUCAUUUUAAAACAAGACUCUAUAUUCCUGUUCAAAAUGCAGUAAUGUGAAUUUAAUUACAAGGAACCAUCAGGGAAACACAAAUUGAGAGAGAUCCUACGACACAACUGGACUGUAUUCUUAAAAAAAAUUAAUAUCAGGGAAAAAAUAGAAAGGCAGAGGGGACUGUUUCAGAUUAAAGGAGACUAAAGUGUCAGGACAACUAAAUGGAAUGCAGGAUCCUGA
rnacentral:lncRNA from 1 species